AUGAAAUACAUUUGUAGGCAUUUCAAGCUUUGGAGGCAUUCAAGGUCCAACACAAUGGCAAGUGCUUCAACCUCUCCCAUUGCUUUAGGGUCAUUAAAGACGAGGAAGUUCAAGGCGCAAUAUGCCGCCCUCAAGUCGCGUGGGGGGAAGCAAGCCGUGGAGGAGGUUGGGGACGGCGAGAAGGCACGACCGCGGGGGAAGACCAACUCCAAGAAGGAGGACAAGAGGGAUGCGGCAUCGAACGCCUUGAUCGCAAGCGUGGAGGGCAUGAUGAAUAAGAAGGACUCAAGGGAGGAGGAGCGCUGGCGUUACAAAGAAGAGCAAAUGAACGCCUUCAUGGAGAUUCAAAGAAGGAGGCUUGAGAUGACGCAGAGAAGCAAGCCAAGAUGCUUGAGAUAG
rnacentral:rRNA from 1 species